rnacentral:lncRNA from 1 species
UAGGAUCUAUCGUCACCUGCUCUCGGCGUUGGCACGGCACGGCGGCACGGCUUGAUGACGGCGGCCCUUAAACUUGGACGGCGUCGGGAAAAACAGCAGCGGCGAGGCGCGGGGGCGACAGUAUGGUUUGACGGCGUCGGGACUGGUGCUCGGCCAUAGCGACGGUGGCGGCCUGGCUCGGGGCGACUCGGCACGGCGGAUUUCCAGAUCUGCGCCCAGAUCUUGACCCUCUCUCCUCCGGAUCUUCUCUCGCUCAGCUCCUUCCGCUCGGAUCUCA